rnacentral:lncRNA from 1 species
UAGAAGGAGGAAGUUACAGUUAAGCAAGCUGUUCACACUAUCAUCAGCCAAAGCAUGUUUCAAGCCAGCACAUUCGCAGAUCGGACGAACUGGUUUCUCCCGUGUGGUUUACUGCAACCAACCUGAAUCAGCUGAUUACUGCGACAACUACGUGAGGACCACCAAGUACACUCCCGCCAGUUUCCUCCCUAAAUCACUCUUCGAGCAGUUCAGGAGAGUCGCCAACUUCUACUUCCUUGUCGUUGGGAUCUUGUCUUUCACUCCUCUCGCUCCUUACACAGCUGUGAGCGCCAUUGUUCCCUUGACUUUCGUCAUCCUUGCUACUAUGGUUAAAGAAGGUGUCGAAGAUUGGCGUAGGAAACAGCAGGUACCCUUUCAUGUUGGUUCAACUUGAAAUGAGUGGUGGUUGAUAGAUUAGAAAAGGACUUGAUGAUCCUCAAUGUUCAAAAAAUCGCUAGGCGGUGGUUAGACGCUUUAUAGGAGAUUAUUGAUUAGGCGGAUGCCUAAACCAAGCUCCACCUAGACCGAUUUUGUAGAACACAUGGAUCUUACUAGGAUGCUAGCUUUUAAAUGAAACAUGUGUUGUUAUAUUGUUCCGGAUCUGUGGUUUAGGUUGGAAUAAGUUACAUUGCUCAGAACUAAAGUAUUACUCUCUACUUCAGUCGCAGAUUGAUCUUUAGUUUAGGUUGGAUUAAGUUACAUUGCUCUGAAGGCGGGCGCGUAGACCGAUUUUUUGAUUAAAAUAUCAGCUUAAAAUUCAUUUCGUUUAUAUUCGAUUUGCCGCCUAGACCGCUUUUUAGAACAUUGCUCUGAACUGUGAUUUAAGUAUUACUCUCUACUUCAUUUGCAGAUUGAUAUAAUUCUGAUUGAAAUUAUCGUGCUUUUUAGGAUAUUGAGGUGAAUGGUAGAAAAGUUGGAGUGCACCAAGGGAAUGGGCACUUCGAUCUUAAGGAGUGGAAGACACUAAGAGUUGGAGAUAUAUUAAAGGUGGAGAAAAACGAUUUCUUUCCGGCAGACCUUGUCCUGCUUUCAUCUAGCUACGAGGACGCUGUUUGCUACGUAGAGACAAUGAACCUCGACGGGGAAACAAAUCUGAAACUCAAACAAGGACUUGAAGUAACCAUGUCACUGCGCGAAGAAGUUGACUUCAGAGACUUCGAGGCUUUUAUCAAAUGCGAGGAUCCUAACGCUAACUUGUAUUCCUUUGUCGGCACUAUGGAGCUCAAGGGAGAAAAGCACCCUCUCUCGCCGCAACAGCUUCUUCUAAGAGGCUCAAAACUCAGGAACACAGAGUAUAUCUAUGGGGCUGUUAUCUUCACGGGUCCUGACACAAAGGUAGUCCAGAACUCAACGGAGCCUCCUUCAAAGAGAAGCAUGAUCGAGAGGAAGAUGGAUAAGAUCAUAUACCUCAUGUUCCUUAUGGUAGUUUCAUUGGCCUUCCUCGGUGCGAUUUUGUUUGGGAUAGUACUGCAACCAACCUGAAUCAGCUGAUUACUGCGACAACUACGUGAGGACCACCAAGUACACUCCCGCCAGUUUCCUCCCUAAAUCACUCUUCGAGCAGUUCAGGAGAGUCGCCAACUUCUACUUCCUUGUCGUUGGGAUCUUGUCUUUCACUCCUCUCGCUCCUUACACAGCUGUGAGCGCCAUUGUUCCCUUGACUUUCGUCAUCCUUGCUACUAUGGUUAAAGAAGGUGUCGAAGAUUGGCGUAGGAAACAGCAG